CUCCUUUGACGUUAGCGGCGGACGGGUGAGUAACACGUGGGUAACCUACCUAUAAGACCGGGAUAACUUCGGGAAACCGGAGCUAAUACCGGAUAAUAUUUCGAACCGCAUGGUUCGAUAGUGAAAGGUGGUUUUGCUAUCACUUAUAGAUGGACCCGCGCCGUAUUAGCUAGUUGGUAAGGUAACGGCUUACCAAGGCGACGAUACGUAGCCGACCUGAGAGGGUGAUCGGCCACACUGGAACUGAGACACGGUCCAGACUCCUACGGGAGGCAGCAGGU
rnacentral:rRNA from 1 species